CACACCUCGUAGACCCCUCGAAGGCUGUCAAGUACCAGAUUAACAGAAUCAGAGGUUCCUGCAACUUAUUCUUUUUUAAUGCCCUUUGGUAAUAUCCACCUGACCGUUUGCUCUUUUUUUUUUCGGUUCAGGCGUUUCUUGCAUUGCUUUUUCCUUUUCUUUUCUUUUCUUUCUUCUUUUUUUUUCUUUUCCUUUUUUUCAUUCUUUUUUUUUCUUUUUAGCAGGAUCGACCUCGAUUCCUCUUUCGUUCACAAUAAACCUCAGUAGUUUACCGGACAGCACUCCACAAGUGCACUGAUUCUGACUCAACCAAAGUCUGAGUUGUUUCGAUCCGGUCAAACAACUUGCCCCGGAUCCACCAGAUGCCCCUCUUUUGCUUGGGACUUU
rnacentral:lncRNA from 1 species